rfam:Picea glauca, whole genome shotgun sequence.
UGCAGAGUAGAGUAGUCUAGUAGCUCGCAAGGCUCAUAACCUUGAGGUCACGGGUUCAAAUCCCGUCUCCGCUA